GGCUCUAUGGUCUAGUAGUAAGAUUCCGCUUUCGGGUUAGUCCAAAUUAUGACAUGUAUAGCGGAGGUCCCGGGUUCGAUUCCCGGUAGAGCCC
rfam:Pneumocystis murina B123 supercont1.5, whole genome shotgun sequence.